ensembl:processed_transcript
UUCAGGAACUGAAACAGGAAGUUGAGGGACCCCAUGACUUUGAAGAGGAACCAUAACACAUUCCCUACAGUAGUUAGGGCUUCCCUUAACAAAGCCAAGUCUGGCACCUGAGUAGAUGUUCUUUGUUGAUUAUGAAGUCUUAAUGUGGACUGGCAUUUUCCCCUGGAGUUUGAGUACCUCCUUCAGAAGCUUCUCAUAGCCCAACUGUCAUCUCUUUGUCUUUCUGCUACGAAGACCACAUCCCCAUCCAGGCCACCCACCAGGUUCCAUUUGUUGGAACUCCCACCAAGGACACCUUUAGCUGUUGAUUGCUUUAUAGAAUAACCGGGCUGGAUGACAGCCCUGAGCAGUUUGCCAGUGUGGUCUAGUCUUCUAGGUUUCCCUGGUGAGUCAAGCGGAAUGUAUCUACUUGUCUCUGGGAAUUGCAGUUCUACAUCAUCACCUAAAGUCUUCCAGAUUUUCCUGGAGAGAGGCAAAUGUGUAAAACACAACUGAAAGUUGACUAUUGACAUCAUGAUGAACAAGAUCUUGGAUGUGAGUCAUGGAAAUGAACCUGAACUGAGAGUGGCUUUCCAAAGACUAGCUCAUCACUGGGAUCCAGGCUGAACAAAUGAGGUAGAUUCAGUGAGUUC